rnacentral:rRNA from 1 species
AUUGAACGCUGGCGGCAUGCCUUACACAUGCAAGUCGAACGGUAACGCGGGGGCAACCCUGGCGACGAGUGGCGAACGGGUGAGUAAUGCAUCGGAACGUACCCGGAAGUGGGGGAUAACGUAGCGAAAGUUACGCUAAUACCGCAUAUUCUGUGAGCAGGAAAGCAGGGGAUCGCAAGACCUUGCGCUUUCGGAGCGGCCGAUGUCGGAUUAGCUAGUUGGGGGGGUAAAGGCCGACCAAGGCGACGAUCCGUAGCGGGUCUGAGAGGAUGAUCCGCCACACUGGGACUGUGACACGGCCCAGACUCCUACGGGAGGCAGCAGUGGGGAAUUUUGGACAAUGGGCGCAAGCCUGAUCCAGCCAUGCCGCGUGAGUGAAGAAGGCCUUCGGGUUGUAAAGCUCUUUCGGCCGGGACGAAAUCGGUGGGGCUAAUAUCCCUACUGGAUGACGGUACCGGAAUAAGAAGCACCGGCUAACUACGUGCCAGCAGCCGCCGUAACAC